rnacentral:lncRNA from 12 species
GGGGCUACGGGUACGCCUACACUAUUGCAUUCCCUGAAAGGCAAACUCUGCCCUACUUAUUCUGUGACUCACUCAGCGCCUGUUCCCUCUUGGAAUUAACCCAAGGAAAAGAGUCCUCUCAGCAAAACAAAGUUUGCCUGCUUCCUUGUGUGUGGCCUGCUUAUUUUAUUUUUUGGAGCUUUACUUUAGAAGUAUAGAGCAGCCUGAGGGCCCUUUUUUUCCCAUUUUGUUUUGUGUGUCUUCUUAAAAUUAUAUCUGAGCUAGAACUACUCUUUCUUCCUUAGUGGUUUUAUAGCUCACAAGAUGAACCAUGACCCUGAAAGAUCAACAGGAAAACCCUCAGGGGGAGCUCACAAAGGGAGAGAAGAUGGAAGACUACCACUGGACACAUGGAUUCAACAUCCUAGCCCUGAAAGAAGAUGGUAUGGUAUUUACAAUGAUCACUUUUGCAUUUGAUGCAGUAGUAAGAUAAUGCAUACACUAAAGAACAAAUCAUUGGUCUUAGAAAAAUGUGUCUGGUGGUGCGGAUCACAAAGGAAUGUUGCUUUAUUCAGCUUUCUUUGGUCGUAGAAUCCAAUAGCAAUGGGUAUUUUGUGUGUUCAGAAGGAGAAAGAGAGAAAGGGGAGUUUGCUCAUCUGUAAUCUAUACUUUCCACAUACAGGUUGAAGCAUCCUCUCUUCUCUGCCAUUUUGUGAUGGCUAGAUUUCCUAUAUACAGUUCUGAAGCUUAAGCUGUAAAAUAGUUAUUAUUUUAUGGCUAAAUGAAGGAUUUGAGAAUUACUGCAUAUGGUAUCCAUGGUUGAUGUGGGGCUAAGGGAGUGAACUGAGGGGGAGCAUUUUAAAUCCUAGAAUACAGUGUUUUAUUCCUACCUUUAAGAUUGAAGCUGUAAGAGUUUAUAAAAUAUCUUCAGAAUUAUGGAGUCCCUUCUCAUACUUGAAAGCACUGUCCUGGGCCUUCUAGAACAAUCAAAGAAAUAGCUAAAAAAAAAAGAGCUUAGCAAGCAUCUGAAGCACUGAGCUAACACCAUCAAAACAUUUUGGGAUAGAAUAAUUGGUGGGGAAAUCUUCCCCAGAACAAUUGAUUUUUCAGUGCAUUCAACAACUGGCUAAUAGUUACACCUAUCAACUUAAGGGGAAAAAUAUACACUACCAUAUAAACCUCUAAAUGUGCUUUACAAUAGCUACAAUUUCAGAGAAAUGAGACCUUAUUUUAAAGAUGGAUUCUUAAAGCAGUUCCAAUUUUUGAGUAACACUAAUGGGCA